AAUUUGGCGGUUUCUAAACUUACUAGAGGAACCUGCCCCAUAAAUUCGACAAUCCACGAGACAACCGACCCGUUCUUGUAAAACAGCUUAUAUACCGUCGUUUAGGGGAUUAAAUAAAUAACUGCUCUUAAUUGCUUAGGCUAAUAAAUCAGAUCAAGGUGUAGCUUAUGUCCGGGAGAGGGUGGGUUUACAAUAAGAACUUAAACGGAAUUUUCAUCUUUAUCAUGGAGAAGAAGGUGGAUUUAGAAGUAAGGCCUAUCAACCUGAAGGAGGCUCUGAGAAAUGUACACAUCGCCCGUCGCUCUCUUGUCCGAAGAGAUAAGUCGUAACAAAGUAGGUAUACCGGAAGGUGUAUCUUGAAAGAGGGAGGGCCCUAUGAGUUUGAAUAAACAUUUUGCUUACACUAAAAAGAUACUCUUGAGAGUGCUCUCUAAAUCUUUAUUUACAAAUUUAUUUAAAACAAUAUAUACAUUAGUAAAAGAAUCGAAUUUAUUUCAAGGUCAUAAGUACUGAAAAGGAAAGUCUACUAAUUACCAAAGAAGUUAUUUGUUUGUACCUUUUUGAGUAUCAGGGUUUAUUAAAGAGUUUCAAUCUUUAUUGCGAAUCCCAAUAAGGUGAUUGGUUAAAGAUGAUUUGUUUCAUAAAUCCUCUUCAAGACUAAUAUCGUUGUGAAAAAUAUUUCGUACUUUUUAUAUCUGGGUUGGCAGAAAUACUCCCUU
rnacentral:rRNA from 12 species